rnacentral:rRNA from 1 species
AACGAACGCUGGCGGCAGGCUUAACACAUGCAAGUCGAACGGACGUAGCAAUACGUUAGUGGCAGACGGGUGAGUAACGCGUGGGAACAUACCCUUUGGUUCGGAAUAACUCAGGGAAACUUGAGCUAAUACCGGAUAAGUCCGAGAGGAGAAAGAUUUAUCGCCGAAGGAGUGGCCCGCGUCUGAUUAGCUAGUUGGUGAGGUAAUGGCUCACCAAGGCGACGAUCAGUAGCUGGUCUGAGAGGAUGAUCAGCCACACUGGGACUGAGACACGGCCCAGACUCCUACGGGAGGCAGCAGUGGGGAAUAUUGGACAAUGGGGGCAACCCUGAUCCAGCCAUGCCGCGUGAGUGAUGAAGGCCUUAGGGUUGUAAAACUCUUUUGUCCGGGAAGAUAAUGACUGUACCGGAAGAAUAAGCCCCGGCUAACUUCGUGCCAGCCGCCGCAGUAA